AGGCGGCACACAGACAGAGACUGGGUCGGAACCCGGACAACCGCUGGUCCAUUUGCUAACGCGGCUAAAGGAAGCGAACCUUCAUCAGUUGACUUACAGGCCGCAGCCCGGUCCGACCCGUGUGGUGGUGGAGGGAGGGCUCUAGUGGACCACCGGACCGCUCUCCCUCCGGUUGUUCUGUCUCCCGGUGUCAGCAAGUUAUUGUGGUGCGUCUUAAGAAGGACCCCGACUCGGUUCGGCUGGAGGGCCAGAGCCAAGAUGUUGAUAGCUGCUGUCAACACAGCGACCGGAAGUUCCGGUGGCACAGGCAAGAAGCACAGAAGACGAUGCAAAAAACAUCGGAGACCUCGAGCUGAUGAACACACACACACACACACACACCACACACACACACACACACACACACACACACACACACACACACACACAGGAACCAUAUAGAUAAAUCCUGUAUCCUGCUUCUACAGGAAGUGACCUCAGAGCCCUACUCUGAAUUUGAUUAAUCUUUGAUUCAUCUUAAUUAAGAGUCUCCUGAUUACUGGCCCCUCACCGGCCCCUGACCAGUCCCUAACUGGUCUUGUGUGCCUGGAGGUAAAACUUAAUGAACUUUUUAAUGGGAAUCAAACGCCUCUGAACUGUAGUGACACUGACAGGAGCAGGUUCAGUGACUCAAACUGAUCCCGAAAUAGACCCAGAGACUAGGAUCAUGCACCCCGUCCCUCUACACACACACACACACACCAGCUCUACAUGACACCUCUGAGGAUCUCCUCAUCUGCAUUAAAAUAGACUGUGUGUGUGUGUGUGUGUGUGUGUGUGUGUGUGUGUGUGUGUGUGCGUGUGCGUGUGCAUGCGCAAAUCUCUUGACUUUAAUGUAAACCAAAACUCGACAGGAGGUUAAAGGAGACAUAUUCUGACUUUUUAUAAGUUAUAGUAGUUCUGUGGUCAGUGGCCACACCCACUAAUUCCUUCAUUGGCUGCUUUGAGGUGAGGGGCUCUGAGUAGAGCUGCUGCUACUCUAGAAUCUGCAGCCGAGGGGAGUUCUGUGCUAGUUUCACUUAUUGUGAUGUCACAAUCUGGAAAUUUUUGAAAUGGUUUUAGGCUAACAAGGUUUGAUAGAGGCAGCAGAGACCCCUCAUGGAAGCACAAAAUAAUGUGAGUUGUUUUCGUUUUUUUUUUUUAAUAAAAUGUCACAUUUAAAUCUGGUUAGCAGUGAUAUUCAGAAAACCUUCACAGAAACUGGUCAUUUUUUGACAAAAGUCAUAAACAGGAAGUAAUUUGUGGCAGUUAUUACUGCUGAGAGCGACAAUCUAAUGAUUGCAGAAACUUUUCUGAAUGGUCCGUCACGUUAUUUUUUGCCCCUUAUCCGAAGUCAGGUCGCGGGGGCAGUAGCCUAAGCAGGGAGACCCAGACUUUCCUUUCCCCAGCCACUUGGGCCAGCUCCUCGGGGGGAAUCCUAACGUGUUCCCUGGCCAGCCGUGAGACAGUCCCUUCAGCGUGUCCUGGGUCUUCCGUUAGGUCUUCUCCCGGUUGGACCUGCCCGGAAAACCUCACCAGAGAGGCAUCCUGACCAGAUGCCUGAGCCACCUCAACUGGCUUCUCUCGAUUAGGAGAAGCAACAGCUGCACUCCGAGCCCUUCCCGGAUGACUGAGCAUCUCACCCUAUCUCAAAGGGAGAGCCCAGCCACCCUGCGGAGAAAACUCAUCACAGCCGCUUGUAUGCGCAAUCUCAUUCUUUUGGUCACUACCCAAAGCUCAUGACCAUAGGUGAGGGUAGGAACGUAGAUCGACCGGUAAAUCGAGAGCUUCGCCUUAUGACUGAGCUCUCUUCACCACGACAGACUGGUACAACGCCCGCAUCACUGCAGAUGCAGCACCAAUCCGCCUAUCGAUCUCAU
rnacentral:lncRNA from 1 species